AUCGAACGCUGGCGGCAUGCCUUACACAUGCAAGUCGAACGGCAGCACGGGGGCAACCCUGGUGGCGAGUGGCGAACGGGUGAGUAAUACAUCGGAACGUAUCCUGUUGUGGGGGAUAACUAGUCGAAAGAUUAGCUAAUACCGCAUAAGCUCGGAAGAGGAAAGCAGGGGACCGGAAACGGCCUUGCGCGAUUGGAGCGGCCGAUGUCCGAUUAGCUAGUUGGUGGGGAAAGGCCUACCAAGGCGACGAUCGGUAGCUGGUCUGAGAGGAUGAUCAGCCACACUGGGACUGAGACACGGCCCAGACUCCUACGGGAGGCAGCAGUGGGAAUUUUGGACAAUGGGGGCAACCCUGAUCCAGCCAUGCCGCGUGAGUGAAGAAGGCCUGG
rnacentral:rRNA from 1 species